rnacentral:lncRNA from 1 species
UCAGAAGUCCUGCAACUGCUUCCUGCCCAAAGUGAACCAGAUUGGCUCUGUGACUGAGUCUCUGCAGGCGUGUAAGCUGGCCCAGUCCAAUGGCUGGGGUGUCAUGGUAUCCCAUCGAUCUGGGGAGAAUGAGGACACUUUCAUUGCCGACCUGGUGGUGGGGAUCUGCACUGGGCAGAUCAAGACUGGUGACCCCUGCCUAUCUGAGCGCCUGGCCAAGUACAAUCAGAUCCUUAGCAUCGAGGAGGAGCUAGGCAGCAAAGCCAGGUUUGCUGGCAGGUCCUUCAGGAACCCCCUGGCCAAGUAAGGCAUGGGCCGGAGAUCCGUGGAGCUACCAGAUCCUCUGUCCCUGAUGUCAUCCAGGCAGCUCAAGGCUGGCCCAGUGCUUGCCCCUCCCAUGUCACUGCUUCCUUAGACGUCCACCCCUGACCACAUGGAGCCCUGCUGGAGCCCUCAGCUUUGUAAUCAUGUGAUCGGUCUGAAUCAUUGUUUCUGUCACCUGACUUUCCAGCUAGUGUCUGGAGCCCUCAGAACUCCAGCCUAAUCUCUAGGGUGCCCACACCAUCAAGACUCCCCC